UGGCUUCUCAACGAAGCGGGAGGAAGGAUGGAAGGGGCUCCUUGUAAGGGCUCCCUUCCGUCCCUCCUCCUGCUUUGCUGGGAAGCCA